UGCAAGUCGAGCGGUAGCACAGAGAAGCUUGCUUCUUGGGUGACGAGCGGCGGACGGGUGAGUAACGCGUGGGAAUCUGCCUGGUAGUGGGGGACAACAGUCGGAAACGACUGCUAAUACCGCAUACGCCCUUCGGGGGAAAGUGGGGGAUCUUCGGACCUCACGCUAUCAGAUGAGCCCGCGUCGGAUUAGCUUGUUGGUGAGGUAAAGGCUCACCAAGGCGAUGAUCCGUAGCUGGUCUGAGAGGAUGACCAGCCACACUGGGACUGAGACACGGCCCAGACUCCUACGGGAGGCAGCAGUGGGGAAUAUUGGACAAUGGGGGCAACCCUGAUCCAGCCAUGCCGCGUGUGUGAAGAAGGCCUUCGGGUUGUAAAGCACUUUCAGCUGUGAGGAAAGGCGAGUGGUUAAUACCUACUUGCUGUGACGUUAACAGCAGAAGAAGGACCGGCUAACUCCGUGCCAGCAGCCGCGGUAAUACGGAGGGUCCGAGCGUUAAUCGGAAUUACUGGGCGUAAAGCGCGCGUAGGUGGUUCAGUCAGUCAGAUGUGAAAGCCCCGGGCUCAACCUGGGAACUGCACCUGAUACUGCUGAGCUAGAGUACGGUAGAGGGCAGUGGAAUUUCCGGUGUAGCGGUGAAAUGCGUAGAGAUCGGAAGGAACACCAGUGGCGAAGGCGACUGCCUGGACUGAUACUGACACUGAGGUGCGAAAGCGUGGGUAGCAAACAGGAUUAGAUACCCUGGUAGUCCACGCCGUAAACGAUGUCAACUAGCCGUUGG
rnacentral:rRNA from 1 species